rnacentral:rRNA from 1 species
UUCAGAGGGUGCGAGCGUUAAUCGGAAUUACUGGGCGUAAAGCGUGCGUAGACGGUUAUUUAAGUCAGGUGUGAAAGCCCCGGGCUCAACCUGGGAAUUGCAUUUGAGACUGAAUAGCUAGGGUGCGGAAGAGGGAAGCGGAAUUUCCGGUGUAGCGGUGAAAUGCGUAGAUAUCGGAAGGAACACCAGUGGCGAAAGCGGCUUCCUGGUCCAGCACCGACGUUCAGGCACGAAAGCGUGGGGAGCAAACAGG